UGGGGGUGUACAGAUAGUUGAAGGACUAUCAAGUUAAACAGAAUGGAUAACCAAAACUAUCUACAGUCUAAUUUGGAUUGUAGAAAUGUAGAAACAGUAUGUCUUUUUAAUUUUAUGUAUCAACUGAAAAUUUAAGUUAUUAAUCAUAUCAUUUCUGAAGUGCAAGUCUCGUACAUAUAUUUUAUACAACAGACUGAAGGUUAAGUGCUAUGGACCUAAUACCGACCUACAUUUUGAAUCAUUAGAAGCGUUUUCCAUACCAUUCCAUAUGUCAAGUUCUGAAGCUGCCAAAGAAUCCCACACAGAAAUGAAUUCAGUCAAGAAAACGGUCAGUUUUUUUUUUAUUUUCGUACGCAUUUUGCUCAUUUAAGGUAGAUAGGGUGUCUUUCUCCAUCUUGGAUUUGGAAACACAAGAAAAAAAGGUCUAGAUCUUUAAUAGAAUGUGCAAAUUUAUAGAGUAGUAUGUAAUUCACGUGUAAGAACUUUCAUUUCAAUAUAGAAAAUGACAUGUUUUAUCAUAUAUAUGGUUGUAAUUUACAAAAAACAGAAAACUUUUGUUUGAUUAAAUUUUCCUCAACUUUGCCACAUAAGGGGAAGCAACUCAAAUGCAAGGGCAGAUAAUUCAGAUUAAGUUAUUUUUACAAUAGAAUGUGUUAGGAAUUUACCUAUUUCAUAAUGUAGCAAGAAAACGGGUCCGGUGACCCCAUUUUUUUCUGUUUCUUAACUGAAAGCAUACUAUUAAAGCUAUCAUCUCAUAUGUUAUCUCUUGAUUCUAUGGUGUAGUUAACACUUUAUUGCAGAAAAUUGUGUUUUCCAUGCAUAAUCUAUACAAAAAUCUGUCAAUUGUGAACACCGUGUAGCGUGAAAAUAAGUCCCGU
rnacentral:lncRNA from 1 species